CCUACGGGUGGCAGCAGUAGGGAAUCUUCCACAAUGGACGAAAGUCUGAUGGAGCAACGCCGCGUGUGUGAUGAAGGGUUUCGGCUCGUAAAACACUGUUGUAAGAGAAGAAUGACAUUGAGAGUAACUGUUCAGUGUGUGACGGUAUCUUACCAGAAAGGAACGGCUAAAUACGUGCCAGCAGCCGCGGUAAUACGUAUGUUCCAAGCGUUAUCCGGAUUUAUUGGGCGUAAAGCGAGCGCAGACGGUUAUUUAAGUCCGAAGUGAAAGCCCACAGCUUAACUGUGGAAGUGCUUUGGAAACUGGAUAACUUGAGUGCAGUAGAGGAGAGUGGAACUCCAUGUGUAGCGGUGAAAUGCGUAGAUAUAUGGAAGAACACCAGUGGCGAAGGCGGCUCUCUGGACUGUAACUGACGUUGAGGCUCGAAAGUGUGGGUAGCAAACAGGAUUAGAUACCCUUGUAGUC
rnacentral:rRNA from 1 species